rnacentral:misc_RNA from 1 species
ACCAGCGGCUACGGAUGGUCGCCUUAGUGGCGUUAUAUUGCUGUUCAAACUGGUGUCGAUAUCAGCCGCUCUAAUAGUGCGAGGCCAGGUCCCCCGCUUUCCCCCGAAGGGCGUAUGCGGUAUUAGCUACGCUUUCGCGUAGUUAUCCCCCGCUACUAGGCACGUUCCGAUACAUUACUCACCCGUUCGCCACUCGCCCACCAGACCGAAGUCGGGCGGGCGACCAGUCUCGGCCAUGUAAGAACUACCGACCGAACGGACUCGAGCCAUGAUCCAG